ensembl:lncRNA
GUCUCUGAAUCACUGCCAGCAUCAGAUAAUUUAGCAAUGGUUUUAGGAAUGACUUACCUUUUUCCUCUGUGGAAGGAAAAUCACUUUGUGAUACAUUUUGAAGUGCUAUAGAGCCUUUCAGUGAAUUCAUGCUAUAGCUGAAUUGCACACCUGACAAGAACAGAAAUUAAUUCUUGGGAUAUGGCCACAACAAAAGAAAGCAAAAGAGUCAGCAGAAAGAUAUAUGUCAUCAGAAGACCUAUGUUGAACAUAUGCUCAUAAACAGAUCAGCAUGAACGAGAAGGACGUCAUCAUCCCCACCUGAACCCCAAGCUAUGGUUUCUCCUGGUCAACACAGCAGGUUUAAACAAGUUAGGCUUAAACAAGUUAGCACAGUUGGAAAAAGAAUAUAAUGCUCCAGAAGACAGGUACAGUUUGAGACUGUACACUUCUCAUCAGUGAACCACAGACUGGAGCAGAUACAGAAUUGAAGUAUUCAUUUAACUUUACUGUUUGGUGACAUUAAUGCAGAUACAAACAACUUGUCUGAAUUUCAGUGAUGAAUUGAAAGUAAUGAUGCCAGUGAUUUGGGUGCAAUCUUUGGAGAUUCUUUUCUAGAGCAGAGAAAUAUGAACGUGGGAUUUUAAAUUUCCAAAACACGUCCUUACUACACUGAUUGAAUUAAUGGGACAACUGUGUUCUCUGCGUGAUGUUUUUCUAUGGGUUCAGUCUCUGCCUGUGUUUAGAAGCUGCAUCAAGCACUGGAAGAAGAAAGAAGGUGGAGUUAUUUAAUAAAAAACAACAACAGAUAAAAAAACAAACAGUAGUGGCAGAGACAGCAUUAGUAAAGACCGUAGUUAUUCCUUUCAGACUGGUUACAGCAAUGAAGGUGUACAGCAGUGAUGCCUUCAACAAAGCAAGCUGUUCUCAGUUAUUUCCAUUCCAGUGCUGCAAAGGAUUGCAUGGAUGUAGGUUUUCUCUGUUAGCUGAUACCCCCCACUCCUACACACCCUGUCAGCAUGCUAACAUUGCUACAGCUGAGCUUGCAAGGCUGAAGGUGAGAUGUGACUGUGCUCUUGAAUUUGCAGCAUCCCGCAUACAUAGACAGUCCCCUUGUUAGUCCUUUCUAGAGAAUGGGCAUUUGUCCUUUUUCAUCUUGUGUCACUCGUUUCACCUUUACGUACCACUCUGCAGAGCACUCAUCAUAAGGCUGGAUAUGUGGAGUCACUGCUGGUACUCAGGAGAGGCCAUCAAGGUGCAGAGGCUGUGAGCAAUGACAGGAAAUCUCUGGAGAAACAAGAGGUGCUAUUAGACAGCCACAGUGAUUUGGUGACACAAAUCUUUGCCUCCUCUGACAGAACAGUUCUACAUCUCCAUCUCUGUUUGCCACGCUGUGUGCACAUGCACAGUGGGUACAAAGAGCAAC